rnacentral:lncRNA from 12 species
GUCUGGUUCCAAAACCAGUGAACAAGACAGCUAAGGCAGAGCUGCCGACUGGGCUCCACAUUCCCUCAAGGAGAAGGGCCUCCGGGUAGACAGAAACAGCCUCCAGGUCGUGUCCUGAAGGAAGGCAGGAGACAAUGGACAUCCAUUUCUGCAUCCCAAGCCAGUAUCCUCCUUCAAGCCUUUGAGGAAGAGAGGUUUCCUGGCAUUGCUACGAGGGAAAGCCUGGCCAGAAGAAUAGGCAUUCCAGAAGCCAGAAUUCAGGUGAGUUUUUACAGUGUGUCACGGGCAUUGUCCCCUGUGGAAGAGAAGGUAUCCCUUAGAUGGUGUAGGAUAGAUGUGGCCUCCUGGGGCGGUGGUACCCGCGGGGUGUGGGGCAGAGGCACCAGGGUCAGAGUAUUGACCAUGCAGUGGGAACCCAUCCAAAGGAAGAAUUUCAAAUUCAAUGUGUGGUUAGCACACAUGCUUGUAGUAAUGGUGACCAGACCAGGUUGGGAAUACAUCCAAGUUGGCCCCUCUUGAGAGAAGCCAAACUCUCAGCUUCAACAACUCAGCCCAGUUAUCCAUUGAGUAGGCCCCAAAAUGCCAUUAGUGUGUGUGGGCUUGCCGUUCUGUGUGUGGAGAUGGGUGUGAUGGAGCCACAGGAGCCACACCUUGUGUGGAUAACCUAAUAGCCUGGAUUACAAGCCCUUAUCCAGGUGAGGGAGGGGCAUCAGUGAGCACAGCUGUGUGCCGCUCUUCUGCCUUAGUUCUGCACACUGCACUUUCUGGGACUGGAGGUGUGAGGCAGCUUUCAGGUAGAUAUAGGCAGACUCUCUGAAAGACUCGCGGUUGGCGCAAGAGCGUGAGGAGGCUGCUUCAGGUGGCACACCUUGGCUUUCCUCUGACGCGUCUUAUCCAGGG